UACGUAGGGUGCGAGCGUUGUCCGGAAUUACUGGGCGUAAAGAGCUCGUAGGUGGUUUGUCGCGUUGUUCGUGAAAUCUCACGGCUUAACUGUGAGCGUGCGGGCGAUACGGGCAGACUGGAGUACUGCAGGGGAGACUGGAAUUCCUGGUGUAGCGGUGGAAUGCGCAGAUAUCAGGAGGAACACCGGUGGCGAAGGCGGGUCUCUGGGACGGUACUGACGCUGAGACGCGAAAGCGUGGGGAGCGAACAGG
rnacentral:rRNA from 1 species